UUCCGCGCGUGUUAAAUACAAAUUUCCACCCCAACUUUUAAAAAUCAAAAUUAUCAAAUUGACCACGUGGGCUUAAUCAACGAGGGGCUUAGCUAAAUGGGCGUUUUCCUGUCAAAUUCAUUAGAAAUUCCCAAUUCAACGCUCAUAGAGAAAAGAGGAAGCGUGGGGGAAAAAGUCAAAUUUUUUUCGUUUCUUCUCAAAAAUUUUCGUCUUUUCUCUCAGGCCAUGAUCUUAGAUGGUUUCUACUUGCAGAAAGAAUAGGGGAAGUUUUAGAUUGGCACUGAAAGAUGCAGAUAAGGUGUUCGAUGAUAUAUAUGCUGGAGUAGUGGAAACAAAGCAGAUGCGGGGUGGAUAUAGAGUUUGUUUCUAGAAGUCAUGAAUGUGUCAACAGGUCUAAGAGUAGUCAUGCUUUUUCCUAAACAUGAGUUUCUUUAGGGAGACGACAUGCGCAAAACCUUAUUAUGCUUUUGAUUCUUACAUAAAGGUUGUACAGAGUUGUCCUGGGAGUUGAGAUAUAGAGUUAUGUGGGAACUGCUUUUAAUAUAUAGCAUAUAAAUAUGAACUUUUAGUCAGUUUUGUCUAAAUUCAAGGAUGAUGUAUGUGCUUCUCAUUGUUUAAAUAAACCCGUUAUAUAACCCGUUUUGUAACUUAACGGUGCCAAGAAAACACGUUAUAUUGCGUUAAAUAUGCGUUACGUUAUAUAACCAAUUAACAAUUAACAUGAGGUUUUUAAGGUUAAAUUGCAUCUCUCAUUAGGACGCGUUGAUGCAUCUCCCACCGUCCAAAUCAUUUAAACUCUACCAUUGUAGUCCCGAUCACCCCAUUCUCUUUCUGCAAAUAUACGAUCUCUUCGCCUCUUCCAACCCAAACUCUAGCUUUUUGCCUCCUCUAAAACUCAUCCACCUAUCAGCGGCUUCUGUGAUUCUAAUAAGGUAAAUUUUUUAUUUUUCAGUUAUAUAUCAGGCAUCUCAGUGUAAAUCCUUUCAAUAAAUAGUGAUUCUGAAUUACCUUCCAAAUUCCAAUCUUUUUUAUUACCAAUUUACCAUUAGUCAUAUCAAAUCUGUUACUCCACUACUUUACCCUUCAAAAUAAUUUUUUAAAAUCUGUCACAAAAUUAGAAUACUGAGAUUAAUUUGUGGGUUAAUUGUGUUAGUUAGAUAAUUACUUUUAGUUAUUACUUGAUUUUGAUUAGGUCUUAGUUUUCAGUUAAUACUAGAGUUUGUGAAAUUAAGUUUGCACGCAAUCUCUGUGUAUACAAAAUUUCUUACUGUUGUUACAUAACUAUGUUUAGUUUGGUUGACAUAGUGAACUUGAUUAGGAAUUAUAAUAUUUUUGUGAAGUUAAGAACUUGAGAGUUGGAAGUGUUUAGACUUGUUUUUAUUGCCUUAAACUUGACGAUGUUAAUGUAUUUGAUCAUUUGAUGACGCUUUUUGGAACGGUUGUUACUGUCAUAUAUGACUAACUUUUGUUAAGAAAUUGUGAUGCUAUAGGUUUAUAUUUGAUAAUUGUGAUGUUAUGUUUGAAAAGUUUGGUUAUUCUAAAUAUUAAAGUUAUUAUGUAUUAUUAGUAUUUAUAAAAUAUCUAAAUAAUUAAUAAACAAUAUAACCUAAUUUAUGUGUUACGUUUUUUUCCUUAACCCUUAACACGAGGACAAGGGUUACAUAACCCAUUUUUUAUUUUCAACAUUGGUGUUCUUUCUUGAUGCGUGUGAAGUUUUAAACUUCAGUCAGGGAUAUGGACAAUCUAUCAAAAAAUAUGGUUAGAACAUUUCUACGGAAUGUGUUUAACUAACUAACUACUUUUUAGUCUAGCUUCUUUUGGCGUUGUUAUGAAUUAACUUUCAUCACUUUAUCACAUCAAUAAUUACAGUACUCUAACUCCGUACAAACUAUUACUUAAAACAAACAUAUUUGGUCUCCCAUCUGUUUUUUGGUGCCAUUCCCACACAAAUAUGGUUUUGCUAUGUACAUUAUUUGGUUUAAUCCCCCCCCCAAAAAAAAAAAAUUAAAAUAAAAAAUAAAAAAUAAAAAUAAAAAUAAAAAAUUCUCUAAAUAAAAAAGAAAAAAAAGCACUAGUCCAGGUUAAAUUCUUUGCACGUGUUCGAUUUAUUUAUUUUAUUGGUAUAUGUAAAAAUUUAAUUCUUGCACUGUAGAUUUGAAAUGUGGAGUUGUUGACAUAAUUUUUUGUCAAUUAUCUGCUGGAUGUUCAUUUUCCAUGUCCUUAAACUCAGAAUAGGCAUCUGUUCUCUUUUUCAACUCUGGUGAUCUCUCCAAGAUGUAUCAGAGGUAAACUAUCUUCCUUACUAAAUUCAAUCUCAUACUAAUAUGUUAGUCAAUGUACGGGUUGACAUGCCAUCAGUGCAAUGUGCUAAAGAACCUAAUUGCUAGUUUUUGGCUCCACAUUUCAUCUUUUUCAUUCCUAAGGCAGUCUUGAGUUCAGAUCACAAGUUUAGGACUAUUAAGCUAUAGGUAUGAAGUGUCUAGUUCAUUGACAUAACUCGGUCUAAAAUUAGAUUCUCUAGAUAACAGACUUACGACCCUGUCUGCAAUCUGUUGUAUAUGAGUAUUCUGCAUACUCAAGAUUCAUUAUGGACCUUUUUCUUUCGUGGGUUUGUUUUUUGGUGAGAAAAAAGGUGGGUGCGACCAUGCACUCCCCCCCACCCCCACCCCCACUUCUCUCUGUUUCAUUACUAAGAAUUUGACAAAACAUCAAUGGAAAAAAAAAGCCAAAGUACGCAAGGGUGACCAUUACAGAAGAUAAAUAUUAGGAGCCAAAGUACGCAAUACUCCUGAGACCCAAAAGGAAACUUUUAAAUGGAUAAUUAUAUUUAGUGUCUCUCCAUGACAUUGUCCUGCUACACCCCUUGCUCCAGGGAAAAUUAUUUUAGUCACUCCUAAUAGAUUAAAGUUGGAGGAACUAAUCUGCACGCUCCUGUCCCCUCCUGGAAGAAUAGACGACCAAUGUAUAUUGUUAUGAUACUUUAAUGAUAUGCGAGACAACAAAAGCAUUGAAUAUUGCUUUAUUAGUAUACUUCCCAAUUCCUCAAGGGACGUAACCUCACCCAAAUCCCAGAACAAUAUUUUAUUACUGUUAACAUUUUGAUUGUUCCCUCCCCAAGCAUUUCCUGGAUGGAAGCUUGUGGAAGCUUGUAGUGCAUGUAUCCUAAAAUGGAUCAACAACUUAUCCCAAGUUUUUUUACGGAUAAGACCAUUUCAGAAGGUGAUGAAUGAAUUUAUUGUUUCUCCUUCACUUCUAUACAACACGCAUAUGUUUGGUCCUUGCCAUUUAUGUUUUAGAUGGUUAUCCUCAGGAAGAAUGGCGUUUUUCAUUGUCAGCAGAUAAACGCUCUGAGUUUAAGAGGAACAGCAAGUCCAUAGAAGUGGAAGUUCCUCUUACAGCAAAGAAUCCUUUGUUACACUAAGUCCAUGGAGGUGUUGUCGUCUAAGGUAGAUAGUUCUGGCCGAAUCGAGUUUAAUUUGUUUAGAAACUUAUCUUUUUUAUUCCCUACAACUAUGUCAAAGUCAGUAGUGUCAAUAAUCCGUCUGCCUCUUUUUCGGAAAGAUGCUAUCUGUCCCUAUUUGCUAAGUCCUUGGGAGCAAACAAAAAAGAAUUUCUGUGAAAAAUACGUUUAAUCGCAACAUUUAUUCUGCAAGAAAUUAAUUGUAUCCCCAUACCCCACACAAAGGAAAUCAUUGACAUAAAUAAUCAUCGACUCUCGAAAAUCAUUUUCAUAGUAAGGAUGAAUUACAUUCAUUAUGAUCCUGUUGUUGAAGGUUGAACACCUUGAUUCCAGUCCAUUCCAACAACAGAUCUCCAAAUCAUACAAUAAACCAUACGUGGUGACCACUCUAAUUUUGAGUCACGUAUUGCAUUGAACAAAUUUGGGCAGGUUUGAGGUCAGUGGCGGAGACAUUCAUUGGCAAGAGGGGGCCAUGGUCACCCCCAACCAAUCUAAUUUUUCAAUAGGAAAUUUAUGUGGGCAGUUGGUUUUGUAUAGGCUAAUGUUUCAUUGACUAUUUCAAUUUGGUCCCUCUAUCAAACCAAGUCAAUUUGGCCCCUCCACUCCACCAUCAGGUUUGACAAAACCUUCACCCACCCAAGUCAAAUUAGAUUUAAUUUAAUAAACAAACAAAAAUAAAAAUUGAAGCUACCAUGCACUAGAAAAAACAAAGAAAAAAAAGUCUUCUCAAAUUUCCUUUCUGUACUCCUCUUUCACAAACUUUAAUCAAAACUACUCAUAAAUCUCUCAAUUCUUCUUUCCCCUUUCCAAUUUUCAUUUCUAUUUAACAAAUCUAACCUUAAUUGUCACUUACCUCAUUGACUUGGGUGUCCGAACGAUUUUUUUGUCGAAUCUUGAAAGCCUUUUUUGAUUAAGGUGAAGAAUCACUAUAUACCUUGUUUAAUAUACUUAUUUGUUCUAAUUUUUUAUUUAGUGGUAUUGUGUUAAAACAACUUUGCCAUUAGUAGCAAAUCUUAGUUUUUAUUGUUCUUUGUAUUUGUAGUAGAGCCAAAUUGAUAAUUUAUUAGCUUGUUGAAAAUUUUAAAUCUUACUUAUUCCCGUAUGUUAUUUUUCCCUCCUUUUGAUAUUAGUGCUUUAUGUAUUCUUGUUUUGAUGUAUAAAUUAUUACUAUUUAUUGAAAAUUAUUAUUUAUUUGCAAUUAAGGAGGUAAAUUUGUAAGAUUGUUAUUGUUAAUGUCAGCUUGUUGGCAUUAGCAAUUCAAUUUUUUUUCCUUUGUUUGAUGCAUUACCAAUUGAUUUAUUUAAUAUUUCUUUGAUGCAUUGCAAGUUUGCAACUAUAUAUUUGUAUUUUAACCAGUAGAUACUAUUUAAUAUAAUAUUUUAUUCCAUUCUGAUGUUUAUAUAUAUAUUGGCCUCCCGAACUAGGAAUCUUGGCUCCGCCACUGUUUGAGGUCCCUUAUGGCCCUUUGCCAAAUGAUUGGUUUGACCUCCUUAAAUUUUCACUCCAACUUAACCAUUGUCUUUAAUAUAGGGUAUCGGACAUCUUUUUACAAAUUAGCACUGCCAGUUGUUUUUUGAAAGCUUCAAUUGUGUUAACUCCUGAUUUCUGGUUAUGUUCUCUAGAAACGCACAGCACUAGUCUAUGAAUAAUGCUGGUUUUGGAUCUCAUUUAAACUGUUUCUUUGGAUAAUAUUUACUUAUGUCCCCUGUCUUAAGAGGAUAGACCAUACCCACAAUUUACUUCAAAAAAAAAGUAACAGAAAAAUAAAUAGAACUUCUGAUGCCUAGCUGUAUAUAAGGUGUUCUAAGCUUUAAUUCAAAUGUAUAUAGAGUUUGCCUUCUCAUCAGAAGCUUGAAUUUCUUUUGGAAACUUUAAAACCCUUCAACCUCCCAAUCAUACUU